rnacentral:rRNA from 1 species
UACAGAGGGUGCGAGCGUUGUCCGGAAUCACUGGGCGUAAAGGGCGCGUAGGCGGCUCGGUCAGCGUGCGGUGAAAGCCCGGGGCUCAACCCCGGGUCGGCCGUGCGAACUGCUGGGCUGGAGCACUGUAGAGGCGGGUGGAAUUCCGGGUGUAGCGGUGGAAUGCGUAGAGAUCCGGAAGAACACCAGUGGCGAAGGCGGCCCGCUGGGCAGUGGCUGACGCUGAGGCGCGACAGCGUGGGGAGCAAACAGG